GGGUUGUGAGGUUAAGCGACUAAGCGUACACGGUGGAUGCCCUGGCAGUCAGAGGCGAUGAAGGGCGUGCUAAUCUGCGAUAAGCGCCGGUAAGGUGAUAUGAACCGUUAUAACCGGCGAUACCCGAAUGGGGAAACCCAGUGUGACUCGUCACACUAUCAUUAACUGAAUCCAUAGGUUAAUGAGGCGAACCGGGGGAACUGAAACAUCUAAGUACCCCGAGGAAAAGAAAUCAACCGAGAUUCCCCCAGUAGCGGCGAGCGAACGGGGAGGAGCCCAGAGCCUGAAUCAGCAUGUGUGUUAGUGGAAGCGUCUGGAAAGGCGCGCGAUACAGGGUGAUAGCCCCGUAC
rnacentral:rRNA from 1 species